GUCAGUAAAACCCCCAAAGAGGCAAUUGUGGUGCUCUUUGAUUCAAGUUCUUCAAUGAUGGAAGAAUGUUAUGACACUGCCAGUCAGAUGAUGCGAAUUGAUGCCGUCAAGCAAAUCUUUGACUGCUUUUCAAACCGAAGUAUGGCAUAUGAUUUUCAGCACGUCAUCUGCCUUGUGAUGUUUAACGACAAAGUUAAAACUCUUCUUAAAUUCACAGAAAAUUUGGAAACCUUCAAGGAGCAAGUGCAUGCUAUUGAAGCAUCUGGGUACACUAGGUUAUCUGA